GAUUAAAAUUCAUUCCAUGAAUUGAUAUUAAGAAAGUCGCAUGAUAAUAACUUAUUUAAAAAAAAAAAAAAAAAAUCAACUUAUUCAAAAUACUUAAAAAUUUCAAUUCGAAAAGAAAACUUAAGAAACUUUCAAAUCAUUUCUUCCAUCACGACAAAUUCCAAGCUCCAAUCAAUGUCUAAUUUCUUGAAAGGGGAAAACUUAAGAGUGAAAAAAUUCUCAGCAAGUAUAUACUCGUUUAUUAUGCUUCACUUUUGGAAAAUAUGUUUAUAGGUCCAUAUGUAUGUUCUAAGAUUCGGACUGGAGUUCUAAUAGCGCUACGCACGUAAAACUCAUACCACCUAAAUUCGGUAUAGUUUUCAUGUCUCCUCUAUGCAAGUUUUACAAUUUCAAGAGUAAUAAGAUUAAUAUUCAUGAACAAGUAUAUGCUUACCAAGAAUUUUCUCACCCUUAGAUUUUCUCCUUUCAGGAAAUUAAGCGUCGAAGAGAUUGGAGCCUGGAAUUAGUCGUGGUGGAGGAAAUGAUUUGAAAGUUUCUUUAAGUUUUCCUUUCAAAAUGAAAUUUUUAAGUAUUUUGAAUAAGUUGAUAAUUUUUAAAUAAGUUAUUAUCAUGCGAGUUAAUUCAUGAAAUGAAUUUCUUUUCCAGGUUUUAGAACUCGAGUGUCACAAUGUACAUCUAGGAAGGAAAGAGAAGAAGAUAUUAUGAAAUAUUUAAGUGUUAAUCUACAUCAAUAAAUUGUAGUACUUUUCUGUUUACAAAUUAUUUUCACUUAGAUUUGCUUCUAUCAAUGAGCCACUGGGUGAACCACUGACCCAACGGCCCUGCGCUAUGGUUGAGUCUGGUAAUGGAAACUAUGCUUUAUGAGUGAAUAAGGCAACACCCAAUCCCAUUAUUGUUGAGACGGUAAUCUCUAAAUUCCUUGGGUUAUGUCAUUUUAAUCAAUCAGUAUACAUGCGAGGAACACGUUCUAAUACUGUUUAACAUCCUCACAGAUUUAAUAUGGUCUAGUAGAAAUUAACUUGAGUAUGGUAUACCAUUCAAGGUCAUCAGAGGUUACAAUGGAACAUAAAACAGAAACAGCCAAUCCUUAUCUUGAUUCCCAGGUUCGGACCAAUUAAUUAAAGAAUAUUUAGAAGUAUGAGAUAUGGCAUCACUAAAAUGGAAUGCUCUGGAGCAAUAUUUGGGAACCAGUUAAAUAUGAGAAAAAAACACACAUCAAAGAAUGAUAUUACAAGUAGGAAAAUACGCAUCAUACUUGCACUUGCACCUUCCCAGACAGUGUAGGUACCUC
rnacentral:lncRNA from 1 species